rnacentral:rRNA from 1 species
UACGAAGGGGGCUAGCGUUGUUCGGAAUUACUGGGCGUAAAGCGCACGUAGGCGGACAUUUAAGUCAGGGGUGAAAUCCCAGAGCUCAACUCUGGAACUGCCUUUGAUACUGGGUGUCUUGAGUAUGGAAGAGGUGAGUGGAAUUCCGAGUGUAGAGGUGAAAUUCGUAGAUAUUCGGAGGAACACCAGUGGCGAAGGCGGCUCACUGGUCCAUUACUGACGCUGAGGUGCGAAAAGCGUGGGGGAGCAAACAGG